rnacentral:lncRNA from 1 species
ACAAUGAUAUGCAUGCCCCAAGCAGCAAUUCUAGUUUUCUAAUCCUCGAACUUCUAACAUUUUGAUCCAACUGCUUCAAUACAAGUUGCAAGUAAGUGCACAAGCGCAAGCCCCUGAUGCUCCCCAUGGUUGUUCUCCUACUCAUAAGGCCCCAAGCCGGCACCUUCAUGCGGGUAAGGAUUCCCAGAACCAUUACCAAACUUCAUGUUCCGUUGCUUGCUCGUUUAACUGAAGCCCCAAACUAUGACUCUCCGAAGAAGCACUCGAUCCCGAAGCUUCCCUUUCCGACCAAUGGAUUGUCUCAAUAUUCUUUUCCCUUAAGCCAGUGAUCUUUGUUAUUAUUGAUUCGAUCCAUGGAUUGUUAGAUAAUUACAAAGGCGUCGAAAUC